UCUUAAAUUUAGAAUGAUACUGUUGCUUUUUUGUUAGUCUUAUUUUUUGAGGUGGCUGACUAAUAACAAAUGUUGGAGGUUGCACUAAAUCUUCCUGAGUGUAUUGGCUACUAAUUGGUGGACGCUAGAUAAUUACAUGUUUUUUUUCAUUAUAUGCUUCAUCUAAAGACCAAUAAAGAUAAUUAUCUCAUCUACCCAACUUCCACUAAAUCUAAAACCAUCGUCAUGAUAUGGUAAAAAAAGGAUUGCAUCUCCAACGAAAUACAAUAAUACACAAAAAUACUAUUUAGAUUAAAAUAGUAAUCCAUUGCAUUCACCUUUUGUAUAAACCUCUACACACAAUCAAUUAACAUAUUAAAAUAACUAAAUUGCAUAUAUUACCCAUUAAGGUAUGAACUCAAUGAGAUAUCAAAGAGAGUAAUUUACAUACAACAAAAGGAAAAAUUGUAAUAAACUAACAUAUAAACUUACAAUUCGGUGUAUCUUCAAUCCUAAGUAAUCUCUUGCUUGUCAUUUUUGCUUAUCAAAUUCUUCCUCAAUCAAGACAAACAAGUAUUUUGCAAAGGGAAUUUGAGAAAGUUUUAAAAAAUGACCAAUAUAUCCUUUAAUAAUUUGGAAAUUCAAAAUAAAUUGUUAAUGUUAACAAAAUAUAUAAGUAAUGGAUUGAAACUACCACUUUCAAGUUCCAACAUAAUUAAAGGGGCAAAUUUGUAUAGGGUAAUAAUUCAUGGACUGAGUCUACAAUUUAGGUAUAACUAAUGGACUAAAACUGCCAUUUUC